AGAGUUUGAUCAUGGCUCAGAUUGAACGCUGGCGGCAGGCCUAACACAUGCAAGUCGAGCGGUAGCACAGAGAGCUUGCUCUCGGGUGACGAGCGGCGGACGGGUGAGUAAUGUCUGGGAAACUGCCUGAUGGAGGGGGAUAACUACUGGAAACGGUAGCUAAUACCGCAUAAUGUCGCAAGACCAAAGUGGGGGACCUUCGGGCCUCAUGCCAUCAGAUGUGCCCAGAUGGGAUUAGCUAGUAGGUGGGGUAACGGCUCACCUAGGCGACGAUCCCUAGCUGGUCUGAGAGGAUGACCAGCCACACUGGAACUGAGACACGGUCCAGACUCCUACGGGAGGCAGCAGUGGGGAAUAUUGCACAAUGGGCGCAAGCCUGAUGCAGCCAUGCCGCGUGUGUGAAGAAGGCCUUCGGGUUGUAAAGCACUUUCAGCGGGGAGGAAGGCGUUAAGGUUAAUAACCUUGGCGAUUGACGUUACCCGCAGAAGAAGCACCGGCUAACUCCGUGCCAGCAGCCGCGGUAAUACGGAGGGUGCAAGCGUUAAUCGGAAUUACUGGGCGUAAAGCGCACGCAGGCGGUCUGUCAAGUCGGAUGUGAAAUCCCCGGGCUCAACCUGGGAACUGCAUUCGAAACUGGCAGGCUAGAGUCUUGUAGAGGGGGGUAGAAUUCCAGGUGUAGCGGUGAAAUGCGUAGAGAUCUGGAGGAAUACCGGUGGCGAAGGCGGCCCCCUGGACAAAGACUGACGCUCAGGUGCGAAAGCGUGGGGAGCAAACAGGAUUAGAUACCCUGGUAGUCCACGCCGUAAACGAUGUCGAUUUGGAGGUUGUGCCCUUGAGGCGUGGCUUCCGGAGCUAACGCGUUAAAUCGACCGCCUGGGGAGUACGGCCGCAAGGUUAAAACUCAAAUGAAUUGACGGGGGCCCGCACAAGCGGUGGAGCAUGUGGUUUAAUUCGAUGCAACGCGAAGAACCUUACCUGGUCUUGACAUCCACAGAACUUAGCAGAGAUGCUUUGGUGCCUUCGGGAACUGUGAGACAGGUGCUGCAUGGCUGUCGUCAGCUCGUGUUGUGAAAUGUUGGGUUAAGUCCCGCAACGAGCGCAACCCUUAUCCUUUGUUGCCAG
rnacentral:rRNA from 1 species